rnacentral:rRNA from 1 species
GUUAAACAUGCAAGUCGAACGAUGAAGCCCUUCGGGGUGGAUUAGUGGCGAACGGGUGAGUAACACGUGGGCAAUCUGCCCUUCACUCUGGGACAAGCCCUGGAAACGGGGUCUAAUACCGGAUAAUACCUGCCUGGGCAUCUGGGUGGGUUAAAAGCUCCGGCGGUGAAGGAUGAGCCCGCGGCCUAUCAGCUUGUUGGUGAGGUAGUGGCUCACCAAGGCGACGACGGGUAGCCGGCCUGAGAGGGCGACCGGCCACACUGGGACUGAGACACGGCCCAGACUCCUACGGGAGGCAGCAGUGGGGAAUAUUGCACAAUGGGCGAAAGCCUGAUGCAGCGACGCCGCGUGAGGGAUGACGGCCUUCGGGUUGUAAACCUCUUUCAGCAGGGAAGAAGCGAAAGUGACGGUACCUGCAGAAGAAGCGCCGGCUAACUACGUGCCAGCAGCCGCGGUAAUACGUAGGGCGCAAGCGUUGUCCGGAAUUAUUGGGCGUAAAGAGCUCGUAGGCGGCUUGUCACGUCGGUUGUGAAAGCCCGGGGCUUAACCCCGGGUCUGCAGUCGAUACGGGCAGGCUAGAGUGUGGUAGGGGAGAUCGGAAUUCCUGGUGUAGCGGUGAAAUGCGCAGAUAUCAGGAGGAACACCGGUGGCGAAGGCGGAUCUCUGGGCCAUUACUGACGCUGAGGAGCGAAAGCGUGGGGAGCGAACAGGAUUAGAUACCCUGGUAGUCCACGCCGUAAACGGUGGGAACUAGGUGUUGGCGACAUUCCACGUCGUCGGUGCCGCAGCUAACGCAUUAAGUUCCCCGCCUGGGGAGUACGGCCGCAAGGCUAAAACUCAAAGGAAUUGACGGGGGCCCGCACAAGCAGCGGAGCAUGUGGCUUAAUUCGACGCAACGCGAAGAACCUUACCAAGGCUUGACAUCGCCCGGAAAGCAUCAGAGAUGGUGCCCCCCUUGUGGUCGGGUGACAGGUGGUGCAUGGCUGUCGUCAGCUCGUGUCGUGAGAUGUUGGGUUAAGUCCCGCAACGAGCGCAACCCUUGUUCUGUGUUGCCAGCAUGCCCUUCGGGGUGAUGGGGACUCACAGGAGACUGCCGGGGUCAACUCGGAGGAAGGUGGGGACGACGUCAAGUCAUCAUGCCCCUUAUGUCUUGGGCUGCACACGUGCUACAAUGGCAGGUACAAUGAGCUGCGAUGCCGCGAGGCGGAGCGAAUCUCAAAAAGCCUGUCUCAGUUCGGAUUGGGGUCUGCAACUCGACCCCAUGAAGUCGGAGUUGCUAGUAAUCGCAGAUCAGCAUUGCUGCGGUGAAUACGUUCCCGGGCCUUGUACACACCGCCCGUCACGUCACGAAAGUCGGUAACACCCGAAGCCGGUGGCCCAACCCCCUUGUGGGGAGGGAGCUGUCGAAGGUGGGACUGGCGAUUGGGACGAAGUCGUAC